UGAUUUUUAAUGAUCUUCCAAUAAACAGCUCUUUGUGGCAAAAGUGACUGUGAACUGGGUGGUCCAACCAGAGGGCUCCUGGAAGUCAGGGGAGCGGUGCUCCUGUUAAAUCACACAUUGAUAAAAGGAAGGAAGGAAAACAGUGUGCUUCCAAGCGUGUGUCCCCCAGACAAGAAAACAGUGGUGAACCUGGCUGCAUUUCUGGACCCCCAGAAGGAGGCGGCACUGACGGCCUGACAGGUCUCCUGACCUUUGGGGGCUUUUAUGUUUGUUUGCUUUUGUUCCAAGUUCCCAGAGGAAAUUCAGGAGGCACCACAACAAAACUCCUGUUUCCUGACACUGCAAUCUAGCCCUUGAAGUGAGGUCCUCUCAGAGGCAGCUUGCCAUCAAGUGCCAUUCUGGGAAGAAAAAGAGUGGUUUUCUCCUAAAAUCAGGGUCGAGUGACCUCUUCAGAUAUAGCAGAGCCUCACGUUGACUCAUAAAAGUGUUUUCAAGACUGCUUUUCCGUCCUCUUCCCCAGGAAGUCCCGGUUGGAGGCUCCCUAACAUUACUGGCUACCCACUAGGGCUGGAAAGAGUUAACGUGAGGGGUGCCAUGGAGGUGGGGCAUAACUCAGUGUAAUUACCCUUACAUAUUAGAUUGCAGCCUGAACAUGCUUACCCCAUCAUUAAGAGCCUUGUAAAGAUAACUAAUGUUUUUUUGUUGUUCUGCCCCACAUCUCCCUGCCAGCAUUCCAGAAUUGGCCCGGCAGAGCCCCAGGCUCCCGGGGGCUUGAUGGAAGCUAUGGAAGAGCAGUUCAGCUUCCUCUAAGGUAGCAAAACCUUACAGACUUCAGGGGACAGCGGAUCCAUGGCCCACGGCUGCUGCAGGCAAAGUCUCUUCUUUUCUGCAGGGACCCUUCUCUCUCAAGGCCGAUUGAGUACAUCAGAGGAGGAGACUGAAAGCCCCGCAGAUGUGUGCAAAAUGGGUUCCUUCUUGCUUGCCAUGCCUAGAAAGAAGCAGCCAGGUACCCUGGAGGCAGCAGCCAAAAAACAGGAGCCACGGACCAGAAGAGUAGCUGGGCGUCUCCCCACGAGGGCAGAAGAGAACGGGCAGGUCCACCCUCAGCCAUGGGCUGGGAGAGGGAACAGCAGGCCCGUCAACCUCCUCUUCACGGAUGGGACCACCCGUUUCUCCUGACUGGAAAGGAAAGGCGGUGCAGCUUUUGUUGGUGAAGUUGCACUCAGGAUCAGAAAACAGAACGGCGGUCCUGGCGGGGGAUGGUGCCUCUGACGUGGCAGGGCCCGUGUACUCUCGCCCAUGGCCCUGCUGCUGGGCCCUGCAGGGGCUGCACGUUUGCCUGUGACAAGGGCCCCCGAGGCCACUCACAGAGCAGGCCUCCCCCAUCCCCGCCAGGGCUCCACACUUCCUCACAGCUCCUGCGUCCUCACACAGCACGUCGGGGACUGAGACAUGGUGACAAGGAUUCUUCCAACACGGGGUGAUUAUAAAUGGUCUCGUCCUCUUGUCCUUCCUCAGGAGCCCCGGCCACACUGAAAGCCUUGAUGACAAAGAAGCAAGUCAGCCACCCCAGCCACUCCAGCAGUGGAGUGACCCCCUCUGGAGUCCCUCCCCUGCCAUGGCCCCUCAGGGCCCUUUCAAGCCAGGGUACCUCUGUGCUGACAGGCUGGAAAGGCAGUAAAACACCUGGGCUGUCCCUGUCACUACCCGCGUUUUCAUUAGCAAAGAAUAACUCCAGGGGAGGCUGUCAGGGUUGGCUGAGCAGCUAGGUGAGACCAAGGGGUACAAUUUCAUGGUGAAGAGAAACUCCCCAAAUGUACCAACAGAUGAAGGUCGCCAGCAGUGCCCUGGCCAUCGGGAAAGCUCCUCUGGGUGGAACCAGGACCUGCUCACCACGGUGCUCCCCACUCGGAUCCGGGACAGCGGCAAGGUGCAGCUAAUACUUUUUGCCUUAAUGAGCCGAAGAGGCCUCCGCAGGAACAUGGAACUUUAUCCCAGGGGCCAUCUCCGUCCUCAUUCGAAGUUUUAUGAAAGCACCUAAAGUGUCCAAGGUGCUGGACGCCAACCUCCAUAGGGCACCACCGGCCCCAGGUGAUGCAGCACAACUUCCGCGUGGCAGGACCCUCUUCUAGGGUCCGUCGGCUGGUGUACUUUAAUUUAAGAGGUUCAUAUUCAGGAGGUAAUUAAUACCACAGAAAAAAAAAAUAGCAGGCAAACUCUCAAAGUGACCCCAGGGGCAGGAGAUGAGUGUGACCAAUUCAGUAUCCCAUCUGUUUCUGCAUUUGAGGGAGAUAGUCAUGGGCAGCAUCUCUAAAAGUUCGAGUCCAUACAUGUCUCUGUCCCUGCUGAUUCCAGGAGGCUCACAUUUUCAGGGAAUAUUAGUAAGACAAUGGAUCAGCCUCCAUCAAAGCCCAAAAAACUAGUGUAUUAGUUGAUUCUCGCAUUGCUACAGAGAAAUUCCUGAGACUGGGUAAUUUGUAAAGAAAAGAGGUUUAUAAUUGGCUUAUGGCUCUGCAGGCUGUACAGGAAGCAUGGACGCUUCUGCUUCUGGGGAGCCUCAGGGAGCUUUGACCCAUGGCAGAAGGCAAAGCAGGAGCAGAUGUCUCACAUGACAGGAAUAGGACCAAGAGGGAGGUGGGGAGAUGCCACACACUUUAAAACAACCGGAUCUCAUGAGAACUCAGGAUUGCAACCACGGCACCAUGAAAAACUGCACCCAUGAUCCAGUCACCUCCCACCGGACCUCACCUCCAGCACUGGGGAUUGCAUUUCAACAUGAGAUUUGGGUGGGGACACAGAUUUAAACCAUGUCAACUAGAAGAAGAGUGACAGCAGAUCUAAACAGUGGAGUGACCCCUCUGCAGCUCCCAACCUUCCUCGGCGCAGGCAGGGAGAUGACAGUCACCCGCAUUGCAAAUACCAACAUUUUAAAACUCUCAAUAAAAAGUUUGUUUAAACUUUUAGAAUCCUACUUUUUACCAUAAAAUGUGUACAUAGGAUAUGUGACUAAGUUCUCAUCCCUCCAUUGGUUGUUCUUUUCUUCAGUUUCUCCUGGCCUCAGUUUUGAUCAUAGAGGAGGCUCCUGGCCAGAGGCAAAGCCGCUGUUCCCUGGCAGUGACAGCGUGGCCCAGAAAGGUGGCUUCAGGGAGUUCAGAGCAUGAGACUGUGGAUCCCCCUCAUCUUGGCAGAGCAGGAGCUCAAUAGGGCAUCGUGGAGGUGUGAGUAGGAUGGGGGAGGAUCUCUCCUCUGCCUCCGUGGAGAACACAGUGUGUGACAUCACCGCAG
rnacentral:lncRNA from 10 species